rfam:Homo sapiens chromosome 14, GRCh38 reference primary assembly.
GCCGGGCGUGGUGGCGCAUGCCUGUAAUCCCAGCUACUGGGGAGGCUGAGACAGGAGAAUUGCUUGAACCUAGGAGGUGGAGGUUGCAGUGAGCCGAGAUUGCACACUGCACUUCAGCCUGGGUGACAGAGCGAGACUCCAUCUCAA